ensembl:lncRNA
UUCUCGGGUGAUUGAGAUCCAGGGCCAGAUGUCCUAGAGGACUGUGGAGCUGCUGAACCUGCCUGAGGACCAGCCCUGUUUCCUGCUAGAUGUGGGGUUCUUCCUGUGUCUGUUGGGUAGACUUCCUGAAAACCAAACCAAGGUGAGGAAAAGAACGGGAGUUUUAUUUCGAGAGACUAUGCAGUCUUGAGUGCUGAACGCUGAUGGCUUGUGUUUUCAGGGGCUGGGGUCAGAGACGGUGGACAGGACUGUCCCAAAUCAAGUCCAAUUCACAGGACAGAGGUAAAGUGAUUAAUAACAUUGUCAACUUUAGACAUGUUGUAAUGCUUAAUUACCACCAUUAUGUUAAAGAAAAUACUUAUUAAUAAAAGUACUAGCGUAGUUGGGUAGAUGACAUUGGGUAGGUCUUUUCCUCAGGUCAGGCCAGGCACAUUUCCCUGCCCUGAUGAGUUUGAAGGACCCAGAUGGACAUAGAGGGCUGUCGUCCUGCCUGACUACAAUUACUGCCCGGCAGCUUUUCCUCCCUCUGACAACACAUGAUUUGGCAGAUGGGGAUUUGGGAAACUCACUGUUCAGCCUUAGUGUCUCCACUUGCGCCUGCUGAAUAGCUAGCUUUAAGGUGGCGCAAUUGGGUUAGCUGCUUCAGGUGGGCGGUCACGGGUUUCUGCAGUGUUUGCUGGGUGUUUGCUGGGUCCAGCCUUGGUAUGAGCCGAAUCAGGAGGAAGUGGUACUCGCUUAGCAAGCAGCGUGACGUAAUUUACAAUCUGUCACGAGACAUGGAGCAGAUUGAAGUUAAAGUUGAGUAAAAAUAACUACAGGUUGAUUAGAGCUGAGGUGUCUCAAUCACUUCCUAUGUCUGCUGGAGGUUAUUUCCUGUUUGUCUUCGUGAAGAUCUCGCUUUAAGAACAUGAAGGGCAAGUCUGCAAAGAAGGGAAAGACUGGAUCCUGGAGGGGAGGAGAAGACAGAGCAGGGAAGUUCGAGCUGACACACAGUACACUGUCCGGCAGAGAAGGCCUCACUUCUAAACCCCAGUCAGUCCUGUGUGUUCCGGCCUGGAGAUUCACCCUUAUGGAGUACUACUGUCCUGCGGACAGAAUCUGGACAGAAACGGGCCCCUCUCUAGGACAUGGUCCCAAUCCUCUGGACAGAAACGGGCCCCUCUCUAGGAUGUGGUCCCAAUCCUCGGGACAGAAACGGGCCCUUCUCUAGGAAGUGGUCCCAAUCCUCUGGACAGAAACGGGCCCCUCUCUAGGACAUGGUCCCAAUCCUCUGGACAGAAACGGGCCCCUCUCUAGGACGUGGUCCCAAUCCUCUGGACAGAAACGGGCCCCUCUCUAGGACGUGGUCCUAAUCCUCUGGACAGAAACGGGCCCCUCUCUAGGACAUGGUCCCAAUCCUCUGGACAGAAACGGGCCCCUCUCUAGGACGUGGUCCCAAUCCUCUGGACAGAAACUGGCCCCUCUCUAGGACAUGGUCCCAAUCCUCGGGACAGAAAUGGGCCCCUCUAGGACAUGAUGGACAUCAGCAACAAAUGGACAGCAAAGAAAAUAAAUUCCCCUCUCUGAUCUUAGACCCAUUCAUCUGGACUAGAUAAUUUCCCCUCAAGCUGCAUAUUCUAUUUUAAAUGUUUGAUAUUUGUUUGAAAGCUUGAAUUAAACAUAUGUUCUCUAACAUGUCUUGAACUGCAUUGUUGGUAAAGGGCUUGUGAGUAAGCAUUUCACGGUAAGGUCAACACCUGUUGUAUUCGGCACAUGUGACAAAUAAAAUUUGAUUUGAUGACUUGUUUCAUAGGCCCAUAUCAAUACCAGUGAAUAUUCAUGUAAUUUAGAGGCCAAUAGUCAUCCCAGGCCUGUGGGCUACAUGUAAUUAUUUUGAGAUCUGCCGUAUUACAUUGUCGAUGGCCUCAUUCAUUUGAAUGCAGUGUUAUUAACUGAACAACAUUCGUCUUAUCUCUGUGAUAAGAAACAUGUUCUCUAACAUGACUCAGCUCUUCUCCAUGCUAGUGGAAGUGUCUAUGAACGAGAUCACUACUGCACAGACACAUGACAUAGGUCCCGUGUGGUUCAGUUGGUAGAGCAUGGUGUUUGCAACGCCAGGGUUGUGGGUUCGAUUCCCACGGGGGGCCAGUACGAAAAAAAAUAAAAAAUAAUUAUGCAUUCACUACUGUAAGUCGCUCUGGAUAAGAGCGUCUGCUAAAUUACAAAAUGUAAAUGUAAUGAAUCCAAACAAUGUAUUAAUGGU